CGAAACGAGAUGAUCACGGGACCAUCUUGCUUUAUUCAUAUUGAUCUCAUAUAUAAAUCACGGCACACAGAAGUAUAUAUAUGACAAAAGAAAGAAUGUCUACCAAGACCAACCGAUCAAAACCUAGCAAGACUCAUCAAACUACCACCGAUCUAAACCGUAUGUAUAGAAACCAGUCACCCAGGAGUAGUCGAGGACAAAACGCAACCAUCUCUACUGCAGGAGAGUCGCCGCGAGCAGUGACACAAGCGCGGAGGCCACCACGGCCACGGCGGAGACCGGGGCGAGACCGGCGGCCGCUCCGGCGUCUGGCGCGGGCGCGGGCGCCGACGAAGGCGCCAUGAUGCCCUGCGCCGAUGCGGAGGCGAAGAAAACGGAGGCCACGGCCAUGGCGACGAGCAGCACGGCGGCGCGGGGAGCCAUCACACCCUUCUUUCCUGGGCUGAGAAACGCUAGGGAGCUCUGUACGAGACCUGGCGGCGUCGAGGAGAUUGGUGUGGGAGGAGGAGGCGGCGUGGUGGAUGGAUGCUUAGGGAUGGAGGAUGGUGGGGGUUUAUAAUGGAGGCGGCGUGGCCCGUGGGUUUUGCGGUGCACGCAAACGCGUUUCGGUCGCGGGGCGUGGGAACGCGAGGUGGCCUGUGGGGUUGGGGGCCUUCCGCGUGACCGCCGUCUGUUGGGCUGGGGGGUGGGUUGGCAUGACGCGGUGCCGUUGGCCCGACUCCACCGACGGACGCGUCUUGGUGGAAGCUAAGAAUUAGGUUCGUGGCUAACCCGAACGCCAAAUGUGGUGCCUUGAGCUAGCCGGGCAGCACCGACUUCGGAUCGUGGCUAACGGAAUGCCAAAUGCGCCUUGUCCUCGUGCUUAGUUGCACCUUGCACGCCACCGGCUUUCUUUCUUUCUUAUUUUUCUUUUUUAACACAAUACAGACCGUAGCGUUCAUGUACUCACGUAUAUUACUCGUUCAUGAACGCACAUGUAUAUUCUAUCUUUACGAACAACUUUGAUAGACUGAGCUAACAUAUCAUCUUAAAAUUUACGAAGUCGUCGUAGACGCCUCGUCGUCGACGUAAACGCCUCUUUCAACUGAAUGCGCAUCUUCGAAAAUCUGAAAAUAAAUUUAAAAAUAAAUGCGAGCACCAGUAUUUGAAUCUUGAUGGACUGAGAUAUUACACUCCCUCUAACCAUCCAACUAGAGGUUAGCUUGCACUUCUCUUUUUUUCAACUCGUUUUCUGCAACAACAACAACAAUGACAACAAAAAAGUCCCAUGGUAAACAUCCAGAUAAUUCAAAGACGACGGCAACAGAUUGUAAAUAGAACAUGAAUAAUGUGAUGAUAAAUGCAACGAAUAAAUAAUUCUGCAACUAUAAUACAUGAGUAAAUAUAUUGUGGAAAAAAAUCUAAAGAACCGGUCUAGGACUGUUACAACACUCCUCAUUUACAAGUUAAUUUACUACCUUGAUCUCAUGGCUGGGCAAAUAGUUACCUCCAUACAUAGGUGGUGGGUCGAACCGUCGAAGUCUCAACCUGGCCCGACAUCCCCCGGGAGGACACUGCUUCUACUCUUCUUUUUGAUAUAGCUCAACAUUCAUGCCACGUGUGGUAUCACCGUCUAUAUUAUGUUGUUGUGGCAACGUGUCUCAUAUACCCUCCCUCAUCUUCUCCAAUAUUAAGAAUGAGGCGGCGCUUUGUGUUGAGGCCAGAGGGCAUGACAGUUAGAGCAUCUUCAAUAACAGCCCUACAAUAGGGCAUGAGCCGUUUCUAGGGCACGAGAGCAUCUAUAGCUGGACGACUCAAAAGACUCAUUAUAUGUCUACGGACGUGCCUCGUCAGUGGCCCGACAAAAAAUAGAAGAAAAAAAAGUAACCUAACUCGAUCCUUGAUAUUCAUCUCAUAUAUAAGUAGGAUAUAAGGGCUCGAGGUCGCGUCCGUGCGCAUCUAUCAGUCCGCUGCGUAGGACGCGGUCUCACCCCGAACCAUCUUUUCCUUUUCUUUAUUCAUUCAUUCUUUCUUUCUCUUCCUCUCCACCCAUCACAUGCAAGUGACCGGACAUAUGAGGAAGGAAAUGAGAAAUGUGGUUGUACGGACAGAAAAAUAGGAGACACGUCCGGUCACUGACCGGACGCGUCUGCGGACGUUUAGAAGGGUCAUAUUUGCUAUGUCCAGUUGUAAAUGCUGUGAGGGGACAAAAAAGACGUCCAACGGCUACCCAAUCCUAGUAUUUUGUAAAAAAAAAAAUUAAACAACCCUAGAAAAAGGCUUAUUGUGAGGCAAAUUUAGGGCAUUGUGGCUGAAAACCCUUGGAUCCAUCUAUCAGCCAACUAGUACAUGUCAUGGCUAGCGCCUUCGACCCUGCCGUCGAUCCUGAUAUGCUCACCACCAUUGCCGCCCUAUUUUAGGGCGGCUGUUGGAACGGUUGUGCCCUAUUCCGUGUACAAAAAGGCAUAAAAAUGUCUUUUGGACAUGUAAUAGGGCUGCUAUUUAAGAUGGCACUUUCUCGUGUCCAAAACUUUUUAUUUUCAAGGAUACGUCAAGAUAGACGUAUCGGGAUCAUAGAAAGAAGAAGCCAAGAAGGCAGAUUAUGGUACAACUCAUCCACGGCUCAAAGAGCCACAUACCUCAUGCGGACUACUCGCUAUCCUCUACCGUUCCUGCCCUAAUUGGCAAAGAUCUAGGAUCUCGCAACAGUUUUGCCGCCCUCCAAUCUUGGGCCUCAAUGUCGAUUUGCCUCUGCAUCGUUGCCGCGUCCGGGGAAGCUCCGUUGAAGACAAUCUUGUUUCUGUGGCGCCACAAGGUCCAAACAACCAGAGAGAUUACCGUCCAAAUCUCCUUGCUGAUUCUAUGGAAAGUAAUGGAGAGGUCGGCCAACUAGCCAGCUGCGAGUCCUGGUUCGGCAACCAAUUGGGCUUGCCCUAAUUCCUGACUAUGUCUUUCCAUACCUGUCUGGCGAGCCCGUAACCGAGGGUGAUGUGAUCAAUAGUUUCCGCAGCCUUGUGACAGAAGGGGCACACCACUAGACGCGGUAGUUGGCGACACUCAAGUCUAUCAACCACUUCACCCAUUUUCCAUGCCUUAUUAUACGGAUGUUGGAGAUGCUCUUAGGGGUUGAAGUAAGUGAGAGUGAUCCCUUGUACAGGUUGUGGCCUCCUAUUUUUGCAAUGGAAUUACAGAAAAGAUGUACAAAUUAAUCUCAGUUUCGUAACAAACUUCUUGUACUUGAUCGGCUGGGGCUGAUUUUGUUGCAGCCGAAAGGGUCGGGCCACCGUCGGAUCCGAUCCGACGGCCCCGAUUGCCCCGAUCGAAACCCUAGCAGGCGGCUGGGCCAUGAGGCGGACUGGGCCGGCUGGGCCUGCAAGGGAGCAGGCUCCGGUACUGGGUCACCGGGCAGUUUUCGGCCCAGAGAGCUUCAGACAUUAAAAGUUUUUAAUACAGUUUUUUCUAUGCAUUUUUCUCCAACAAAAAUGUGCUUAGAAAAUAGAAAAGAAAAAGGAGUGUCUCUGCAAAAUAAAAUAUAAAUUUUUCUGCAAAGAAAAAUAAAAGUUUCUGAAAAUAAAAUAGAGAUUUUUUGAGAAAAAGAAAAGUUCAUGGAUUUUAUAAAAGGAUAAUAAAGUUCAUGAAUUUUUAUUUUUAACAGAAUAUUUUUUUCUGUAAAGUAGAAAAAGUACAUGAAUUUUAUAUUCACGUUUUCCACUGCAAAGUAAUUUAAUAGUGCUAUUUUACGAAGUAAAUAAAAAUUUAGAGAGAAUAACAUUUAAGAGCAUAUUAAAGUGAUUAUUAAAAUAAAUAUGGUUAUGUUAUUUUUCUGACCAGCAUUGUUAAUAACAUGAUCAUGUUGCACUAUUGGCAUUAAGAUGCAUUUAUUUCUAUUAUUUGCCCAACGGUAAUAUAGAUUUAUUUGCAUAGAGAAUUGUAUGUUUAAUUUGACCAACGUUAGAUUAAUGCAUAUGAUUGUUAUACUGAUCUCUCUUAAAUUGUGAUUUCAUGAGGCUUCCACCUGAUGAGUUGCCUAAAAGAUGUUCCGACACUCAAAGGUGAUAAGUACUUUGAGUGGAGGAAGAAAGUAGAAAUGGCUUUUGUCUCUGCUGAGGUGGACUGGCUUCUGGAGGAACCACAACCCGUUAAACAUCCACAGCCAGUGAGAGAUGCAAAAGACACUAAUGUUGUAUGGGAGAAAAAGCAAAGGGAUUAUGCUCCAGUGGAGAUGUCCUACUCCCUUAACAACCAAAAGUGGAUAAAUGCCAACAAAAAGUGUCUGGCAUUUAUAAAUAAUACAAUUGAGAACGCCAUUGUGGGCUUAAUUACAGAGUGCACUUCCGUAGGGGAGAUGCUCACAAAGAUAAAGAGCCAGUUCACUGGCUCUUCAAAGACAUAUGCCAUCCAGUUGAUAAAACAACUGGUUACAGAGAACUACACUGGAGGUGGCCAUGGCAUUAGAGAGCACAUCCUUCAGAUGAGCAACAAGGCAGCAAAGCUCAAGCCAAUGGACGCGGAUCUGGAAAUCAAACCAGCACUCCUCAUCCACUUGGUCAUGGCUUCACUGCCAAAGGAGUUCGAAACUUUUGUUGUGAACUAUAACAUGUCCCCUGAAACAUGGAACAUUGAAAAUACAAUAGCAAUGUGUGUCCAAGAAGAGGACAAACUGAAAGCCUCACAUGGUGGUUCAAUCAACUAUGCGAAGGACAAUAAGAAAAAUAAUUUCAGUCAAAACAGCAAAGGUUCUCCUUCAAAGCCACAUGGUAAAGGCCCCUCACAUUUUCAGCAUCAGCAAAAGCCUCUUCUAGUGGACAGGGACACUUGUCUCCACUUCAAGAAGACAGGGCACUACAAAAAGGAUUGCCCUGACUAGCUAAAGACCAUCAUGGCAAAGAGAGGUAACGACAUCGUUUCCUUUGUUAAUGAAUCCAUGUAUUCACAGUUUUCGAAAUCUACUUCGUGGAUUGACUCGGGUGCAACUGUUCAUGUUGCAAACUCUUCACAAGGAUUCCGUUCGACGAGGAUUUUGCAAAGAAGAGAAAGAAGUAUUGAAGUCGCAAAUGGCGUCCAAGCAGAAGUUGAAGCUGUCGGCGACAUCUCCUUGGAGUUGGCUGAAGGAUUCAACCUUUUGCUUAGAAACGUCCUAUUUGUCCCUUCAUGUAAUAGAAAUUUAAUAAAGGUUUCUUGCUUAGAUAAAGACAAUUACGAGUAUUAUUUUGGACAUGGCAAGUGUGCCAUAUGGUACAAUAAUGCUUAUGUUGGUGUUGCCUUACUUCACAACGAGCUUUACUUGUUAUCACUUCGUGAAAAAGUGCAUUACGUGUGUAAUAUGAAUGAGCAAAAUUCCUCGUCGAACAAAGAACAAAAGAAAAGAAAGAGAACUCACGACUCAUCGAAGUUAUGGCACUGUCGUUGGGGCCAUAUUUCGAAAGGGGGGAUAGAAAGACUAAUUAAAAGCGAGAUACUUCCUCCACUUGAGUUCUUAGAUUUAAAACAAUGCAUUCAUUGCGUUAAAGGAAAGUAUGUAAAACAAAUUAAAAAGGGUGCAAACCGAAGCACUGGAACACUAGAAAUCAUCCACACUGACAUUUGAGGACCAUUUCCUGUGGAAAGCGUGGAUGCCUAUGACUCGUUCAUAACAUUCACAGAUGACUACUCCCGUUUCGGUUUUUAUUUAUCCAAUCAAAGAAAGAAAUGAAGCAUUGGGUAAAUUCAAAUUUUUCAGAGCUGAAGUUGAAAAUCAGCUUGACAAAAGAAUAAAGGUAGUGAGAUCUGACCGUGGGGGGAGUACUACGGUCGACAAACUCCAUAUGGCCAAGUCCUUGGACCUUUUGCAAAGUUCUUGCAGGCGACUGGCAUAGUAGCCUAGUAUUCAAUGUCGGGCGAGCCUCAGCAAAAUGGAGUAGCUGAAAGGCGUAACCGUACCCUUAUGGAUAUGGUGCGCAUCAUGAUCAGUUACUCCAACCUGCCAUUGGGAUUAUGGAUGGAGGCGCUUAAAACCGUCAUUCACAUUCUCAAUAGAGGACCAAGCAAGUCGGUGCCCAAAACACCGUACGAGUCGUGGACAGGAAAGGUACCAUCCUUGCAACACUUCAAAGUGUGGGGAUGCCCAGGUGAGGCCAAGAUGUUUAAUCCAAAUAUUGCAAAAUUAGAUCCCAAAACAGUGAGUUGCUACUUCAUUGUCUAUCCUGAUAGAUCAAAAGGUUUUCGUUUCUACUCUCCAGAAAAAUACACAAAGUUUGUAGAAACGAUACAUGCGGUAUUCUUAGAGGACGAAAUGAUGAGGGGGGGUCUGGUAGCUCGGAAAAUUGACCUUGAGGAGAAGAGGGUGCAUGCACCUAAUCCGAUGAUUCAAGAGCCAUUUUUCACACUACCUGUUGUAACUCCAACCAUGACAACUAUGGGAGAAGAUCCGGAACAUGUCCUUCAGGAUCCGACUGAACCUGUUGUUAAGCAUGAAAGGGAGGUACAACAGCCAAUUUUAGAGGAUGUGCCAGAGAACGAGGCACUUAGAAGGUCUAACAGAACAAGAAGGUCAACUAUUUCUGCUGAUUAUAAAGUUUGUAACACAUAAUUGGUUCAUAUGGAAGGUGGUCCCACUUCAUAUGAAGAAGCGAUGAGAAUCCCUCACUCAUCGAAGUGACUGGAGGCAAUGGAAGAUGAGAUGAAAUCGAUGAGUUCCAACGAUGUUUGGGACUUAGAAACUAUUACUAAAGGUGCCAAAACAGUAGAUUGUAAAUGGGUCUACAAAACAAAGUAGGACUCUAAUGGGAAUAUAGAAAAGUAUAAAGCACGACUCGUCGCAAAAAGAUUUACACAAAGAGAAGGGAUAGAGUACAAUGAGACUUUUUCCCUAGUCUCAUGUAAGGAUUCCUUCAAAAUCAUAAUGGCAUUAGUUGCACAUUUUGAUUUAGAGUUGCAUCAAAUGGAUGUAAAGACGACAUUUCUAAACGGAGAUUUAGAAGAAAAUGUCUACAUGAAAAAAUUCAAGGGUUUUAUCAUGGAAGGCAAGGAAGAUAUGGGAUGCCGCCUAAAGAAAUCCAUUUAUGGACUAAGGCAAGCCUCUAGACAGUGGUAUCUAAAGUUCAGCGAUACUAUUAAAAGAUUUGGAUUUAAAGAAAAUGUUGAGGAUAAUUGCGUUUAUGCAGAGUUCAAAAAUGGGAAAUAUAUUUUCUUAAUCUUGUAUGUGGAUGACAUCUUGCUUGGAACCAAUGGUGUUAGUCUACUACAAGAAACAAAGAAGUUUUUAUCCUCAAAUUUUGAUAUGAGAGACCUUGGUGAUGCUUCAUAUGUUUUGGGCAUUGAAAUUCACCGAGAUAGGAAAAAUAGAGUCUUAGGACUACCGCAGAAAGCAUAUUUAGAGAAGGUUCUCAAAAGUACAAUAUGCAUGCGAGCAAGGCCACACCUGCUUUUAUAGUCAAGGGCGACAGUUUUGGGAAAUUCCAAUGUCCCAAGAACCAGUACGAGCUCGAUGAGAUGAAAGCAGUAUCAUAUACUUCGGCUAUUGGAAGUUUACAGUAUGCACAACUGUGCACCCCCUGACUUAGCUUUUAUCACCGGGGUACUCGGUAGAUAUCAAGAGAAUCCAGACCUAGAGCAUUGGAAGAUGAUAAACAAAGCAUUACACUAUGUGCGAAGGCACAAACGAUAUCAUGCUAACAUACAAAAGAUUUGAUUCCCUAGAGAUAAAAGGGUAUUCAGACGCAGAUUUUGCGGGAGAUAGAAAUGAUAGAAAAUCCACGUCAGGAUACGUGUUCACUUUUGCUGAAGGGGCUAUUUCGUGGAAAAGCUCCAAACAAACCGUAGUUGCAUCGUCCACGAUGUAAGCAUAGUUUAUAGCAUGUUUUCAAGCCACUGGGAGGUGAUAUGGUUAAAGAAAUUUAUACCUGACUUGAAAGUGGUAGAUUGUAUUUACAAGCCACUAAAGAUGUACUGCGACAACCAACCCGCAUUAUUAUGCUCACAACAACAAGUUGAGUAAUGCUACCAAGACAAUAGAUAUAAAGUAUUAUGUUAUGAAAGACAAAAUACAGGAUCACACUAUAAGUCUCGAGCAUAUAAGGACAACGGAUAUGCUCGCAGAUCCGCUAACGAAAGGCUUACCACCCAAUGUGUUCAAAGAACACUUAGCCGGCAUGGGGUUAAUGGAAAGCCUAUGAUUCCUGGAUCAUAAGAGGCCCCAAAAGGAACAUAAUUUGUUUCUAAACAAAAGUAUGUUGUAGCUGUAUGAUUCUAUCGACAAUUAUGCUGUGACGAUGAGACAUGCUCUAUGUGUCAAUAUAUGAUGGAACAAAUAAACUAGAAAGUAUAAGGUUAAAGUAAAAGUUGAGAUCAAGAGGAAGAAUUAAUGUUAGGUUGAUCUCUUAGCAUGGGCCCAACGGCCCACCGUACCCUUGAUCCAUAUGCGCCCUGACCGGGGGCGCCCAACCCAUUAUGGUUGGUGGCCCCUGUGACCCGCACUAUCACUACAAGAGAACAGAGCUUUGGUAACACAUAGUAAAAUAUGUUACAAUCGAAAAUCCAGUAACACAUGAUUUGUGUUGCAAAGUCAGACUGUAACACAUACAAUAUAAGCUCAAAAAUGUGUUACGACAAUAUCGUCUAAGUAACACGUAAUUAUGUGUUGCACGUAAUGUGUUACACAGAUGUUGCUACAGUAACAUAUUAAUAUAUGUUAGUGGGAGUGUGUUACAAUAAGAUUGUAGAGAAAGUAACACAUAAUCAUGUGUUGAUCCAUGGUUUGGUUUUGAUAAAUAUCGAACUAUUUCGAGAUGGUUUUUGUAAAUACCAUAUUAGCCAAAUAAGGCGCUAAUUUUAGGAUGACUCAACGACCAUACAUGCACACCUUAAAUUGAUCAUAUAGAAUUAAGUAAUUGACGUCAAUGCAUGUACUCAUGAAGAUUAUAGUAUUUCAACUAAAAGCAUCAAUGAAGCACUAAAAGCGACUCAAAUGGGGCGACCCAUUUCGUCCGUCGCUGUCCGUUUGGGUCGGCACGGAUAAAAAACUUUGCCCAACUAGGCGACCCAAACGGACAACAAGUCCGUCUGGUGUCCAUUCCCGACCCAGACUGAACCAAAAUAUGGGUCACAAAUGGGUCUGCAGCGGAUAAAAGCGGGCGCUCCCGUCGUCUCCUCCCGUCCGCUCGUGUCCGCCCUGGUCCCACCCAUUAGUGACUGGGCACUCGUCCUCCUCACCACCGCCGCCCCGCCGACCCUGUAGGUGGAGCCGGGUCUGGGGACGAGGGAGGUAGCGAUGGCCUCAGUCUCGGUCUCCGGGUCGGAGACGGUAAUGUAGGAGUACUCGAACGUGGCGGCGCGUGCGGAUCUCGGGGAGGCAGAGGCGAAGCGCAGGGAGGAGGCGACGACCCCGACAAAGGACGAAGGGUCGACGAAGGAGGAGGAGGCACGGGACCGGGGGAAGGCGGCGGGGGUGGGAGGGGAGGUGGCGAGGAGGAGG
rnacentral:lncRNA from 1 species